rnacentral:rRNA from 1 species
UACGGGGGGGGCAAGCGUUGUUCGGAAUUACUGGGCGUAAAGGGCUCGUAGGUGGCCAACUAAGUCAGACGUGAAAUCCCUCGGCUUAACCGGGGAACUGCGUCUGAUACUGGAUGGCUUGAGUUUGGGAGAGGGAUGCGGAAUUCCAGGUGUAGCGGUGAAAUGCGUAGAUAUCUGGAGGAACACCGGUGGCGAAGGCGGCAUCCUGGACCAACACUGACGCUGAGUGAGCGAAAGCAUGGGGAGCGAACAGG